UCACUAAAUCUCAGAUGCUUGA
rnacentral:siRNA from 1 species